rnacentral:rRNA from 1 species
AACGAACGCUGGCGGCAUGCCUAACACAUGCAAGUCGAACGAGACCUUCGGGUCUAGUGGCGCACGGGUGCGUAACGCGUGGGAAUCUGCCCUUGGGUUCGGAAUAACAGUUGGAAACGACUGCUAAUACCGGAUGAUGACGUAAGUCCAAAGAUUUAUCGCCCAAGGAUGAGCCCGCGUAGGAUUAGCUAGUUGGUGAGGUAAAGGCUCACCAAGGCGACGAUCCUUAGCUGGUCUGAGAGGAUGAUCAGCCACACUGGGACUGAGACACGGCCCAGACUCCUACGGGAGGCAGCAGUGGGGAAUAGUGGACAAUGGGCGAAAGCCUGAUCCAGCAAUGCCGCGUGAGUGAUGAAGGCCUUAGGGUUGUAAAGCUCUUUUACCCGGGAUGAUAAUGACAGUACCGGGAGAAUAAGCUCCGGCUAACUCCGUG